rnacentral:rRNA from 1 species
GGUUAAGCGACUAAGCGUACACGGUGGAUGCCCUGGCAGUCAGAGGCGAUGAAGGACGUGCUAAUCUGCGAUAAGCGUCGGUAAGGUGAUAUGAACCGUUAUAACCGGCGAUUUCCGAAUGGGGAAACCCAGUGUGUUUCGACACACUAUCAUUAACUGAAUCCAUAGGUUAAUGAGGCGAACCGGGGGAACUGAAACAUCUAAGUACCCCGAGGAAAAGAAAUCAACCGAGAUUCCCCCAGUAGCGGCGAGCGAACGGGGAGCAGCCCAGAGCCUGAAUCAGUGUGUGUGUUAGUGGAAGCGUCUGGAAAGGCGCGCGAUACAGGGUGACAGCCCCGUACACAAAAAUGCACAUGCUGUGAGCUCGAUGAGUAGGGCGGGACACGUGGUAUCCUGUCUGAAUAUGGGGGGACCAUCCUCCAAGGCUAAAUACUCCUGACUGACCGAUAGUGAACCAGUACCGUGAGGGAAAGGCGAAAAGAACCCCGGCGAGGGGAGUGAAAAAGAACCUGAAACCGUGUACGUACAAGCAGUGGGAGCACGCUUAGGCGUGUGACUGCGUACCUUUUGUAUAAUGGGUCAGCGACUUAUAUUCUGUAGCAAGGUUAACCGAAUAGGGGAGCCGAAGGGAAACCGAGUCUUAACUGGGCGUUAAGUUGCAGGGUAUAGACCCGAAACCCGGUGAUCUAGCCAUGGGCAGGUUGAAGGUUGGGUAACACUAACUGGAGGACCGAACCGACUAAUGUUGAAAAAUUAGCGGAUGACUUGUGGCUGGGGGUGAAAGGCCAAUCAAACCGGGAGAUAGCUGGUUCUCCCCGAAAGCUAUUUAGGUAGCGCCUCGUGAAUUCAUCUCCGGGGGUAGAGCACUGUUUCGGCAAGGGGGUCAUCCCGACUUACCAACCCGAUGCAAACUGCGAAUACCGGAGAAUGUUAUCACGGGAGACACACGGCGGGUGCUAACGUCCGUCGUGAAGAGGGAAACAACCCAGACCGCCAGCUAAGGUCCCAAAGUCAUGGUUAAGUGGGAAACGAUGUGGGAAGGCCCAGACAGCCAGGAUGUUGGCUUAGAAGCAGCCAUCAUUUAAAGAAAGCGUAAUAGCUCACUGGUCGAGUCGGCCUGCGCGGAAGAUGUAACGGGGCUAAACCAUGCACCGAAGCUGCGGCAGCGACGCUGAUGCGUUGUUGGGUAGGGGAGCGUUCUGUAAGCCUGCGAAGGUGUGCUGUGAGGCAUGCUGGAGGUAUCAGAAGUGCGAAUGCUGACAUAAGUAACGAUAAAGCGGGUGAAAAGCCCGCUCGCCGGAAGACCAAGGGUUCCUGUCCAACGUUAAUCGGGGCAGGGUGAGUCGACCCCUAAGGCGAGGCCGAAAGGCGUAGUCGAUGGGAAACAGGUUAAUAUUCCUGUACUUGGUGUUACUGCGAAGGGGGGACGGAGAAGGCUAUGUUGGCCGGGCGACGGUUGUCCCGGUUUAAGCGUGUAGGCUGGUUUUCCAGGCAAAUCCGGAAAAUCAAGGCUGAGGCGUGAUGACGAGGCACUACGGUGCUGAAGCAACAAAUGCCCUGCUUCCAGGAAAAGCCUCUAAGCAUCAGGUAACAUCAAAUCGUACCCCAAACCGACACAGGUGGUCAGGUAGAGAAUACCAAGGCGCUUGAGAGAACUCGGGUGAAGGAACUAGGCAAAAUGGUGCCGUAACUUCGGGAGAAGGCACGCUGAUAUGUAGGUGAAGUCCCUCGCGGAUGGAGCUGAAAUCAGUCGAAGAUACCAGCUGGCUGCAACUGUUUAUUAAAAACACAGCACUGUGCAAACACGAAAGUGGACGUAUACGGUGUGACGCCUGCCCGGUGCCGGAAGGUUAAUUGAUGGGGUCAGCGCAAGCGAAGCUCUUGAUCGAAGCCCCGGUAAACGGCGGCCGUAACUAUAACGGUCCUAAGGUAGCGAAAUUCCUUGUCGGGUAAGUUCCGACCUGCACGAAUGGCGUAAUGAUGGCCAGGCUGUCUCCACCCGAGACUCAGUGAAAUUGAACUCGCUGUGAAGAUGCAGUGUACCCGCGGCAAGACGGAAAGACCCCGUGAACCUUUACUAUAGCUUGACACUGAACAUUGAGCCUUGAUGUGUAGGAUAGGUGGGAGGCUUUGAAGUGUGGACGCCAGUCUGCAUGGAGCCGACCUUGAAAUACCACCCUUUAAUGUUUGAUGUUCUAACGUUGACCCGUAAUCCGGGUUGCGGACAGUGUCUGGUGGGUAGUUUGACUGGGGCGGUCUCCUCCUAAAGAGUAACGGAGGAGCACGAAGGUUGGCUAAUCCUGGUCGGACAUCAGGAGGUUAGUGCAAUGGCAUAAGCCAGCUUGACUGCGAGCGUGACGGCGCGAGCAGGUGCGAAAGCAGGUCAUAGUGAUCCGGUGGUUCUGAAUGGAAGGGCCAUCGCUCAACGGAUAAAAGGUACUCCGGGGAUAACAGGCUGAUACCGCCCAAGAGUUCAUAUCGACGGCGGUGUUUGGCACCUCGAUGUCGGCUCAUCACAUCCUGGGGCUGAAGUAGGUCCCAAGGGUAUGGCUGUUCGCCAUUUAAAGUGGUACGCGAGCUGGGUUUAGAACGUCGUGAGACAGUUCGGUCCCUAUCUGCCGUGGGCGCUGGAGAACUGAGGGGGGCUGCUCCUAGUACGAGAGGACCGGAGUGGACGCAUCACUGGUGUUCGGGUUGUCAUGCCAAUGGCACUGCCCGGUAGCUAAAUGCGGAAGAGAUAAGUGCUGAAAGCAUCUAAGCACGAAACUUGCCCCGAGAUGAGUUCUCCCUGACUCCUUGAGAGUCCUGAAGGAACGUUGAAGACGACGACGUUGAUAGGCCGGGUGUGUAAGCGCAGCGAUGCGUUGAGCUAACCGGUACUAAUGAACCGUGAGGCUUAACCUU